rnacentral:tRNA from 1 species
GCUCGUAUAGUGUAGGUGGUUAUCACCGUUCGUUGUGGAAGACAACUCCGAGCUGACCGCUGUUCGACUCAGCGUGCGAGCA